ACAAAGCCUCCACGCGGCGUUACGUCGCCCAAUCCCCCCAGGGCAGGAAUGCAGCAAGGGUAAGCGGCCUCUGACGGGUGCGUGGAGGUUUUUCUAU
rnacentral:SRP_RNA from 2 species